UACGUAGGGUCCGAGCGUUGUCCGGAAUUACUGGGCGUAAAGAGCUCGUAGGUGGUUUGUCGCGUUGUUCGUGAAAACUCACAACUCAAUUGUGGGCGUGCGGGCGAUACGGGCAGACUUGAGUACUGCAGGGGAGACUGGAAUUCCUGGUGUAGCGGUGGAAUGCGCAGAUAUCAGGAGGAACACCGGUGGCGAAGGCGGGUCUCUGGGCAGUAACUGACGCUGAGGAGCGAAAGCGUGGGGAGCGGACAGG
rnacentral:rRNA from 1 species